AAAGUGGAGGCUAUUGUAACUGAAGAGAACUGGAAAGUUCCACCGUAGAAGGUAAUAGUCCUGUAAGUGAAACGAGAAGACCACGAGUUAUGAUCCAGAGUACCACGAGACACGUGAAACCUUGUGGGAAGCAGGGAGGACCACCUCCCAAGGCUAAAUACUACCUGAUGACCGAUAGUGAAGCAGUACCGUGAGGGAAAGGUGAAAAGAACCCCGGGAGGGGAGUGAAAUAGAACCUGAAACCGUGUGCCUACAACCGCUCAGAGCCCCUUAUGAGGGUGAUGAGGUGCUUUUUGUAGAACGAGCCAACGAGUUACGGUAUGUAGCAAGGUUAAGUACUUAAGGUACGGAGCCGAAGGGAAACCGAGUCUGAAUAGGGCGACUAGUUGCAUGCCGUAGACCCGAAACCGGGUGACCUAUCCAUGGCCAGGUUGAAGCGAGGGUAAAACCUCGUGGAGGACCGAACCACGUUGCUGUUGAAAAAGCAUGGGAUGAGCUGUGGAUAGCGGAGAAAUUCCAAUCGAACCCGGAGAUAGCUGGUUCUCUCCGAAAUAGCUUUAGGGCUAGCGUCGAGUAUGAGUAGUGGAGGUAGAGCACUGAAUGGGCUAGGGGGCAUAGCGCUUACCGAACCUUAUCAAACUCCGAAUGCCACAUACUUUGAGCUCGGCAGUCAGACUACGAAUGAUAAGAUCCGUGGUCAAAAGGGAAACAGCCCAGAUCGUCAGCUAAGGUCCCAAAGUGUAAGUUAAGUGGGAAAGGAUGUGAGAUUUCUAAGACAACUAGGAUGUUGGCUUAGAAGCAGCCAUUCAUUAAAAGAGUGCGUAAUAGCUCACUAGUCGAGAGAUCUUGCGCCGAAAAUGUAACGGGGCUAAACUUACCACCGAAGCUACGGGCUUGAACUUAGUUCAAGCGGUAGGAGAGCGUCGUAACCGGGCUGAAGUCGUACCGUAAGGAGCGGUGGACUGGUUACGAGUGAGAAUGUUGGCAUCAGUAGCGAGAUGUGGGUGAGAAUCCCACAGGCCGAAAACCUAAGGUUUCCUCAGGAAGGUUCGUCCGCUGAGGGUUAGUCGGGACCUAAGCCGAGGCCGAAAGGCGUAGGUGAUGGACAACUGGUUGAUAUUCCAGUACCACUACCAUCGUUAUUAUCGAUGGCGUGACGCAGGAGGAUAGUGUGUGCUAGCUAUUGGAUGCUAGUCUAAGCGUUUAGGCAGUGAGAGUAGGCAAAUCCGCUCUCAUAAUGCUGAGGCGUGAUGGGGAAGGUUCCACGGAACCGAAGUACAUGAUUCCACGCUGCCAAGAAAAGCGUCUAGAGAGAGAAGUAGUGCCCGUACCGCAAACCGACACAGGUAGGUGAGGAGAGAAUCCUAAGGCCGGCGGAAGAAUUACAGUUAAGGAACUCGGCAAAUUGACCCCGUAAGUUCGCGAGAAGGGGUGCCUACGAGAGUAGGCCGCAGAGAAUAGGCCCAAGCAACUGUUUAGCAAAAACACAGGUCUCUGCUAAAGCGUAAGCUGAUGUAUAGGGGCUGACGCCUGCCCGGUGCUGGAAGGUUAAGGGGAACACUUAGCGCAAGCGAAGGUGUGAACUUAAGCCCCAGUAAACGGCGGCCGUAACUAUAACGGUCCUAAGGUAGCGAAAUUCCUUGUCAGGUAAGUUCUGACCCGCACGAAUGGCGUAAUGACUUGGGCACUGUCUCAACUGUAAAUCCGGCGAAGUUGUAGUGCGAGUGAAGAUGCUCGCUACCCGCGAUUGGACGGAAAGACCCCGUAGAGCUUUACUGUAGCUUAGCAUUGAGUUUUGGUAUUGUCUGUACAGGAUAGGUGGGAGACUAGGAAACCAGGGCGUCAGCCUUGGUGGAGUCAACCUUGGGAUACCACCCUGACAGUACUGAAAUUCUAACUGGCGGCCAUGAAUCUGGUCACAGGACAUUGUUAGGUGGGCAGUUUGACUGGGGCGGUCGCCUCCUAAAAAGUAACGGAGGCGCCCAAAGGUUCCCUCAGAACGGUCGGAAAUCGUUCGAAGAGUGCAAAGGCAGAAGGGAGCCUGACUGCGACACCCACAAGUGGAGCAGGGACGAAAGUCGGGCUUAGUGAUCCGGUGGUACCUCGUGGGAGGGCCAUCGCUCAACGGAUAAAAGCUACCUCGGGGAUAACAGGCUGAUCUCCCCCAAGAGUCCACAUCGACGGGGAGGUUUGGCACCUCGAUGUCGGCUCGUCGCAUCCUGGGGCUGAAGUAGGUCCCAAGGGUUGGGCUGUUCGCCCAUUAAAGCGGCACGCGAGCUGGGUUCAGAACGUCGUGAGACAGUUCGGUCCCUAUCCGUCGCGGGCGUAGGAAAUUUGAGAGGAGCUGUCCUUAGUACGAGAGGACCGGGAUGGACUGACCUCUGGUGUACCAGUUGUUCCGCCAGGAGCACAGCUGGGUAGCUAAGUCGGGAAUGGAUAAACGCUGAAAGCAUCUAAGCGUGAAGCCAACCUCAAGAUGAGAUUUCCCAUAGCGUAAGCUAGUAAGAUCCCUUGAAGAACACAAGGUUGAUAGGUCGGGGGUGUAAGCAUGGUAACAUGUUCAGCUGACCGAUACUAAUAGAUCGAGGGCUUGACCAA
rnacentral:rRNA from 1 species